AAAAAAUUGUCAAGUUCCAUACUUCCAUCACACAUUUAUAAUCCAAUACAUAUUUGAUCACCGCUUGUUACAUAAUUGUUAGGCGUUUCUUUCCACGGCGAAUGCCUGCCAGAAAUACCACCUCCACUGCUCGCCGUCAUUACUCUUAUUGACUCCUAAUGCGCCACUGUAACACUUACACAUAUAUAUAUAAGAGUAGUGACGGUGAGCAGUAGUCCGCCGUCAAAGAAAGCCCCUAUCAAUCGAUGGAAGCAACGUAGACUGUUUUUAUACAUUAUCUUGUAAAAAGAAAAAAGUUAGAGUGUUGUGCCCUAGUGUAUAAGGCAAUGGAAAAUCAUAUAAAUAAACAAAUAAAAUAAUAAAAAAAGCAAUAUUGUGCCCGAGGCUUAUACUAAAACAGUGAGAAUAAAUAAAUUUCGCUUGGAUAAAUUUGUGGUUGAGGAAAUAAUGGCAGCAGCCGACUCAUCAACCAACGACAGCCUUUAUCCAAUUGCAGUUUUGAUAGAUGAAUCAUAAAAUGAAAAUUUACUACUGCGAUUUAAUUCGAUCGAAAAACUUUCAACGAUUGCCUUGGCACUUGGUGCUGAACGUACUCGUAGUGAGUUGAUGCCUUUUUUGACGUGGACAAUGUAUGAUGGAGAUGAAAUUUAAUUGGCACUCGCUGAACAACUUGUAACAUUCACACCACUCGUAGGUGGACUUGAUCAUGUUUAUUGUUUAUUGCCACCACUUGAAGCAUUGGCAGCUGUUGAAGAAACAGUUGUACGUGACAAAGCAGUUGAAUUGUCGCGUAAUAUUGCAAGUCAACACAGUCCAGCAUAUCUUGAAGAUCAUUUUGUUCCAUUGGUAUACAACGUUUGGCAUCUGGUGAUUAAUUUACGUCAAGAACAUCAGCAUGUGGUUU